rnacentral:lncRNA from 1 species
AUGGACCAUAGUAACCUCCCAAAUUUGCUUGUGCAUGAAUUCAUGUGCUUGGAAAGACUCCUGCAUUGUGAGGUGUGUCGUUUUGUCCAACACCUGAGGUUGGGCACAAUGAAAACUUGCAGCAAAUCCCCUCUCGUGCUGCUGGAGCUGAUUUACAUCACAUUAUUUCCAGUUCUGGAGGCACAACGAGUCAGUGUCUGGCCCGAAGUGAUUGGAUACCUGGGGCAUAAUGUCACGCUGCCAUGCCAGUUCAUCCAAGGACCAGAAAAAGGCAUUAUUACUCAGGUUCAGUGGAGUCUCCUGCAACCAGAAGGAAAUAGAUACACCAUUAUCGUUUCUAAUAAAAAGUUUGGGGUUAAUAUUCCAGAAUCUCCACUCAAGGAGAAAGUGGCGAUAAAAGAACAAGCGUUGAUAAUUGAAAAUGUUGAGAUGAAAAAUGCAGGGUUGUACAUGUGCACUCUUGCAACCUUCCCCAGUGGCUCAUUUGACGGAACAACCAGCCUCAUUGUUCAAGAGCAGAUGCCGUUAUCAGCAGGGGUGGUGACUGCUAUAGCGAUUGCUGCUAUACUCGUGGUAGGGAUUAUGACAGCUGGAGCUUACUUCAUCUUCAUCAGAAGGCGUGAUUCCUCGGUCAGACACAGUGUCUUCAUUGGUGAGAACAAAAAUACAAACAUGUUUUAAUAUUUUGUGUUGUAUAACUUUUUCAGUUCCCUUGAAUAAAGCUGGUCUGUCUCUCAGACACAGGUCGGACAGUGAUGGAUGUGUCCGGGCCUUCGGUUCUUGAAAGAGACGAGGUGAGCUCCGAGUUGGUUCGAAGCCACAUGUCAGAUAAAGUUUGUUUACUCUGUGGUCGUGAUAAGACAAAUAAAAAGAAUUGUUGUUUUAGAAAAGCAACACGAUACAGAUGAGCAGAUUCCACCAUAACGCUCUCUGUCUCGAUCUUACUCGCAGGGUGCGGUCUACUCCGACGUCAAGUUCAGACCAGCCAGAGAUGAGACGUCCUCUGACAAUGACAGACGCACGAAGUCCACAUGUGCUGAUGUCACGUACGCCGAAGUUGUAGUUUUGGGUCAGCAGCCCAAAUGAGGUCCAGAAAAAAAAAAUCACCUUAAAGCUGCUGUAUGUACAAUAAAUUGCAUUCAUCCUAUUUUUGUCAUCAUGCAGUAUAAUAUCAGCAUAUUCUGACAUCUAUGGAUAAAAUGCUCACCUGCAACUCUGUAGGUGCUCUCACAAGUUCUUGUUUUUUUUUCCCCCUUCCAUUGGCCUGUGCCAGACCAAGCUGGGAUGAUUUGUGUUUCCUCCAUAACCUCACAACUGGGGGAUGUACAAGAAAUGUAACAUUUCUCAUAGAAGAAUGUUUUUCAAGAACAAAUGCAGUCCUUGAAAUAACACCACUUUUAGCGUGUUUUCCACUGUGUAUUCCACCACGGCACGACCGCUGCCAUGCUCAUGGCGUAGUCAGCAUGCAGUCAUUUGAUGAUUAGCAAAAAAACAAACUACAACUGAUGUUGUGUCAUCAUAUUGUGUCAUCAUAUUUUAAAGUAUUUGGUCACGUGUAAAAUAACAUUUUGACCUGCGAGAUGAAAACUCUGUUGUAGAAGCAAUAUGCAGUAUCCUCCAUGAAUGUGUGUGUGCGUGUGUGUGUGUGUGUGUGUACCAAAUUGAAUAACCUAUGCCUUUCGUGUUUCAAUAAAGAACUUAAGUCAACACCAUUGCGCCAUUUCACAGCAAUCAAUCUAAAAGUUAUAGAUAGUUCAGUCUGACCCAAAGCGGUGGACCAAUAAACAUUGCCAUUCCCAAAAGUUG